rnacentral:rRNA from 1 species
AGCAGCCGCGGUAAUUCCAGCUCCAAUAGCGUAUAUUAAAGUUGUUGCAGUUAAAAAGCUCGUAGUUGAAUUUCGGGAUCAAUAUUUCGGUCAUGCCGUUGGUAUGCACUGUUAUCAUUGAUUUCUCACCUUCUAAAGAACCGUAAUGCCAUUAAUUUGGUGUUACGGGGAAUUAGGACUGUUACCUUGAAAGAAUUAGAGUGUUUAAAGCAGGCUCACGCUUGAAUACAUUAGCAUGGAAUAAUGAAAUAGGACAUCCGAUUCUAUUUUGUUGGUUUCUAGGAUCGAUGUAAUGAUUAAUAGGGAUAGUUGGGGGCAUUAGUAUUCAAUUGUCAGAGGUGAAAUUCUUGGAUUUAUUGAAGACUAACUACUGCGAAAGCAUUUGCCAAGGAUGUUUUCAUUAAUCAAGAACGAAAGUUAGGGGAUCGAAGACGAUCAGAUACCGUCGUAGUCUUAACCAUAAACUAUGCCGACUAGGGA